UUUUUUGGUCGUCUCGUCUGAUUGAGAAGUUGAGUUUUUUUUUAUAGUUUCACGAAAAUCACUAGAAAUCUUUAGUGUAUGUUGCUAUUGUUAUUUUUGUUUCAGCAACAAUGUUUUAAGUAAAAGAGAAACGCGAACGGCGAGGCGCCAGGACGCGGGUGCUCCGCCGCCGAAAAUCAAAUGGAUUGCAACUGAACCUAUGAGGGUGAGUUAAUUACAAGGGUAAGGGGCUUCCUAUAAUACUGUGCUCCUAUGAGGAAGGAACAGUAUGGUUUAACAACAAUGCAGUGUGUGAUGCAUGAGCUUACUAACUCAGCAGCUAAUUGCAAGCAGCCUGUGCACA